rnacentral:rRNA from 1 species
UACGGCGGGUGCAAACGUUGCUCGGAAUCACUGGGCGUAAAGAGCGCGUAGGCGGUCUCUUAAGUCAGAUGUGAAAGCCCGGGGCUCAACCCCGGAAGUGCAUUUGAAACUAAGGGACUUGAGUAUGGGAGAGGGAAGUGGAAUUCCUGGUGUAGCGGUGUAAUGCGUAGAUAUCAGGAGGAACACCGGUGGCGAUGGCGACUUCCUGGACCAAUACUGACGCUGAGGCGCGAAGGCGUGGGGAGCAAACAGG